AAAAAGCCUGAAGGUAAUGAUUCUACUCAGCAGAGCAAAUUCAAUAAGCUGUUGUUCUGGUGACUAUAGUGUCCCUUUAAGGCUUGAUGCCGAAAUGUUGUAUAUCAAGCAAUGGCGACGUCCGCACCAUGUGAAACCCUGUGAAGGUGGAGCACGUUGACAUCAUGUCGGAAUGUGACGUGGCGUUGCGUGCCUCUAUGCAUCUCCGCUGUCCAGCCAUGGCCAUCGCAACACUGACCAACACUCACUCUCUGACAGACACACUCUGACAGACACUGACAAGCACACUCACUGACAGAGACUCAAUCACUGACUGACAGACACACUCAUUGACAGACACACUCACUGACAGACACACACACUCACUCUUUGACAGACACUCACUGACUGACACACUCACUGACAGACACACAAACACUCACUCUGACAGGCACAAAGACACUAAUAGGCACACAGACACUGACAGACACACACACGCUAACACAUUCUUGCACACCUUUACAUAAUUGUAUUUAUUGCUCCCUACCGUUGGGAGCUGGUGUGGGGAUCUUCUCUCAGGAGCUCAGUCUUCCUGCUCCUCACUGCUCCCUCAGUUUAGUGAUGUCGGGUGCUGGAAUGACGUCAUAUUUCGGCACCUGGUAUCACCACAGAGGGCAUGUGCAAAGUGAGCAGUGACCUCUUCUCCCUGGCCGGGUAAAUUUUAGCAGAUUAGACACCUGCAAUGUGGGGAGAGCAGGUGCCUACUCUGCCUUAGUAAGCAUGUCAAACUCACGGCUCGCUGGGCCGCAAAGAUAUUCAUUGUGGGCCGUGAGUUUGACAUGCUUGUUGUAUAUGAUUAUGCUCUUGUGAUCUUCACUGUUGGACUCUGCUUCAGAUCCAGUACUGUAAUCAUACUUCGGUCACGGCAGGGCUUGUUGAGCAUGUACAUUGGCCUGGAGGAAAAUCAUCCUUGAGCGCCUGAUGGUUUAACAGAGAACUACUUUGAGUUUUUCAGCUACAUUUUCCUAAUUUUUAGCUACUGCUAGAUACUUACGUUCCAUUAGAAUUUGCCUUUAUAGAGUAAUGCAGGGGUGCCCAAAUGGUAGAUCCCCAGAGGUUUCAUAUCUACAGCUACCAUGAUGCUUUGCAUGUCUUUAGAACGACAAAGCCUCAUGGAAGUUGUAGUUUUCAAACAUCAAGGGAUUUUAUUGGGGGAACCCCUGGAGUAAUGUGACCUAAAAUAAACCUUUCUGUACACUGCUGACCCCCUUUACUUGUACUGGCAAUUCAAAAAUGAGUUAUGUAGGGUAAACAAUAAUCAUUUAUUUAAGGACAUGAAAAAUGCUUUGCUGCAGUAUGUGGAAUGAAUAUUAUCCAAGGAUGAAUCUAUCUAAUCAAAAGGAUGCUCCCAAGUUACUACUUUGAUUAUUAUAUUUUUCUCUACAUAUUGUGGGGAAGCU